CCUACGGUAGGCAGCAGUGAGGAAUAUUGGUCAAUGGACGAGAGUCUGAACCAGCCAAGUAGCGUGAAGGAUGACUGCCCUAUGGGUUGUAAACUUCUUUUAUAAAGGAAUAAAACGAGGCACGUGUGCCUUUUUGCAUGUACUUUAUGAAUAAGGAUCGGCUAACUCCGUGCCAGCAGCCGCGGUAAUACGGAGGAUCCGAGCGUUAUCCGGAUUUAUUGGGUUUAAAGGGAGCGUAGAUGGGUUGUUAAGUCAGUUGUGAAAGUUUGCGGCUCAACCGUAAAAUUGCAAUUGAUACUGACAGUCUUGAGUACAGUUGAGGUAGGCGGAAUUCGUGGUGUAGCGGUGAAAUGCUUAGAUAUCACGAAGAACUCCGAUUGCGAAGGCAGCUUACUAAACUGCCACUGACAUUGAUGCUCGAAAGUGUGGGUAUCAAACAGGAUUAGAUACCCGGGUAGUC
rnacentral:rRNA from 1 species